rnacentral:tRNA from 2 species
GGCCCUAUGGCGGAAUUAGGCAUACGCAACAAGCUCAAACCUUGUAAAAUUCUCAGUUCAAAUCUGAGUAGGGCUA